rnacentral:rRNA from 1 species
CCUACGGGGGGCAGCAGUCGAGAAUCAUUCACAAUGGGGGAAACCCUGAUGGUGCGACGCCGCGUGGGGGAAUGAAGGUCUUCGGAUUGUAAACCCCUGUCAUGUGGGAGCAAAUUAAAAAGAUAGUACCACAAGAGGAAGAGACGGCUAACUCUGUGCCAGCAGCCGCGGUAAUACAGAGGUCUCAAGCGUUGUUCGGAAACACUGGGCGUAAGGCGGGCGUAGGCUGUUUCGUAAGUCGUGUGUGUAAGGCGCGGGCUCAACCCGCGGACGGCACAUGAUACUGCGAGACUAGAGUAAUGGAGGGGGAACCGGAAUUCUCGGUGUAGCAGUGAAAUGCGUAGAUAUCGAGAGGAACACUUGUGGCGAAGGCGGGUUCCUGGACAUUAACUGACGCUGAGGCACGAAGGCCAGGGGAGCGAAAGGGAUUAGAUACCCGAGUAGUC